rnacentral:rRNA from 1 species
ACUCCUACGGGAGGCAGCAGUGAGGAAUAUUGCACAAUGGAGGAAACUCUGAUGCAGCAACGCCGCGUGGAGGAUGACGCAUUUCGGUGUGUAAACUCCUUUUAAGAGGGAAGAUAAUGACGGUACCUCUUGAAUAAGCACCGGCUAACUCCGUGCCAGCAGCCGCGGUAAUACGGAGGGUGCAAGCGUUACUCGGAAUCACUGGGCGUAAAGGGUGCGUAGGCUGGCUUUUAAGUCAGAUGUG